UCUUGGGCUGUAGAGCCAAGCUGUAACUUUGGAGUUCCUGAAGUAUACUUGUGUUUUCGUUAAUGGACAGCCUUAGCGUUGGCCUUGUUAUAUAUUCUUGAAUUAUUUUGACCCCUGUUUAGGGUUCCUGAUUCCAGAUUGCGUAUUUCUAUAUCCAGUCUGGAUGUGACGUUGAGAGUUGCGGUGCUACCCUGAACUCUAGUUGUCUUCAUAGUGGUGAGCAUUCGUCUUGGUUAGAAGAUUGUUACCGUUGGUAUAUGAAGUACAUUGCACAUAAUUACAGAAUCUUUGUCUUGAAAUGGAAUAUUGAUGAGCAACCGACGCCUUCGGCUCGCCUUGUUCCAGUGACAACGACUGUAAUCUGGAAAACACAAUCUGUGUGGACAACAUGUGUCAGUGUGAUGCUGGCUGGAGUUAUUCCCAAAACACUCUUCAGUGUGUUAAUUGGUGUGAGCAAUACGGGACAAUGUUCACAAAAAUAAAACAAUCCUCCAUCCAAGACAAGCAGCUGAUUACACUGACCGCUCCUCAAUAUAUCACCGCCAGUGGGUGUGGUCAGGCCUGCGUGGACUUUGCCUUCUUUACUUGCCGGUCUUUCGAGCUGGACACCACCUUUGGGCGCUGCUACCUGCACUCGAACAAUCCGUUACUGUUAAGCUUUCUGGACUUCUUACAAUUCAAUGACUCAAUAGACUAUUACCAACGAAGCUGUGCCUACGUUUAGCCUUGACCUUCAAGACAAGAAUAUUGAACAUUCGUGUUUUGUUUUUGUGAGAUUUAGUUUGUUACCAAUGGGCUGUGUGUGUGUGUGUCUGUGAGUCUCAUUUCAUUUCUGUGGGCUGUGUGUGUGUAUGUCUGUGAGUCUCAUUUCAGUUCUGUGGGCUGUGUGUGUGUGUGUCUGUGAGUCUCAUUUCAUUUCUGUGGGCUGUGUGUGUGUGUGUCUGUGUGAGUCUCAUUUCAUUUCUGUGACAUUUGAGUACGGGUAGAGGAGCGUUUCAUUCUCUCUCAGUCUCUCUGUAUAGAUUUGUAUUUCUUCAUCUGUCCCAUAGUCUCUUUUGACCUAUGUGUUUUAUAGAUUAAUAUCAUCCAUAUCUACAUCAUUGGUUAGUGGCAUGUCCUCAGUCAAGUCAAGCAGUGACUCUGUCUCUCUUUAUCUACAUCAUUGGUUAGUGGCAUGUCCUCAGUCAAGCAGUGACUCUGCCUCUCUUUAUCUACAUCAUUGGUUAGUGGCAUGUCCUCAGUCAAGCAGUGACUCUGCCUCUCUUUAUCUACAUCAUUGGUUAGUGGCAUGUUCUCAGUCAAGCAGUGACUCUGCCUCUCUUUAUCUACAUCAUUGGUUAGUGGCAUGUCCUCAGUCAAGCAGUGACUCUGCCUCUCUUUAUCUACAUCGUUGGUUAGUGGCAUGUCCUCAGUCAAGUCAAGCAAUGACUCUGCAUCUCUCUAUCUACAUCAUUGGUUAGUGGCAUGUCCUCAGUCAAGCAGUGACUCUGUCUCUCUUUAUCUACAUCAUUGGUUAGUGGCAUGUCCUCAGUCAAGCAGUGACUCUGCCUCUCUUUAUCUACAUCAUUGGUUAGUGGCAUGUCCUCAGUCAAGCAGUGACUCUGCCUCUCUUUAUCUACAUCAUUGGUUAGUGGCAUGUUCUCAGUCAAGCAGUGACUCUGUCUCUCUUUAUCUACAUCAUUGGUUAGUGGCAUGUCCUCAGUCAAGCAGUGACUCUGCCUCUCUUUAUCUACAUCAUUGGUUAGUGGCAUGUCCUCAGUCAAGCAGUGACACUGCCUCUCUUUAUCUACAUCAUUGGUUAGUGGCAUGUUCUCAGUCAAGCAGUGACUCUGCCUCUCUUUAUCUACAUCAUUGGUUAGUGGCAUGUCCUCAGUCAAGUCAAGCAGUGACUCUGUCUCUCUUUAUCUACAUCAUUGGUUAGUGGCAUGUCCUCAGUCAAGCAGUGACUCUGCCUCUCUUUAUCUACAUCAUUGGUUAGUGGCAUGUCCUCAGUCAAGCAGUGACUCUGCCUCUCUUUAUCUACAUCAUUGGUUAGUGGCAUGUUUUCAGUCAAGCAGUGACUCUGCCUCUCUUUAUCUACAUCAUUGGUUAGUGGCAUGUCCUCAGUCAAGUCAAGCAAUGACUCUGCAUCUCUCUAUCUACAUCAUUGGUUAGUGGCAUGUCCUCAGUCAAGCAGUGACUCUGCAUCUCUCUAUCUAUAUCAUUGGUUAGUGGCAUGUCCUCAGUCAAGUCAAGCAGUGACUCUGUCUCUCUUUAUCUACAUCAUUGGUUAGUGGCAUGUCCUCAGUCAAGUCAAGCAAUGACUCUGCAUCUCUCUAUCUACAUCAUUGGUUAGUGGCAUGUCCUCAGUCAAGCAGUGACUCUGCAUCUCUCUAUCUAUAUCAUUGGUUAGUGGCAUGUCCUCAGUCAAGUCAAGCAGUGACUCUGCCUCUCUUUAUCUACAUCAUUGGUUAGUGGCAUGUCCUCAGUCAAGCAGUGACUCUGCCUCUCUUUAUCUACAUCAUUGGUUAGUGGCAUGUCCUCAGUCACGUCAAGCAAUGACUCUGCCUCUCUUUAUCUACAUCAUUGGUUAGUGGCAUGUCCUCAGUCAAGUCAAGCAGUGACUCUGUCUCUCUUUAUCUACAUCAUUGGUUAGUGGCAUGUCCUCAGUCAAGCAGUGACUCUGCCUCUCUUUAUCUACAUCAUUGGUUAGUGGCAUGUCCUCAGUCAAGCAGUGACUCUGCCUCUCUUUAUCUACAUCAUUGGUUAGUGGCAUGUUCUCAGUCAAGCAGUGACUCUGCCUCUCUUUAUCUACAUCAUUGGUUAGUGGCAUGUCCUCAGUCAAGUCAAGCAGUGACUCUGCCUCUCUUUAUCUACAUCAGUGGUUUCCAAACUUUUUUGUCUCGUAGACCCCUUGCCAUGUUUUCUGGUUUUCGGUAGACCCCCUGCUUAACUUGUAUUGCAAUUUUUGCAGAUUUAUAAACUCAUUUUUAAAACUAAUUUAUAACUGUAGUGAGUCGAAGAGUGAAAAAGUAAUUGAAAGCUACACCAAAGGUUACAGAGAUCUAUCUUUUUUGACUGAUAAAAUUUAAACCAAAAAAUAAAUAAAUAUGUAUUGCUGGAUCACCAAACACACUAGAAAUGUUGUUGUUUUUUUUGCAUGUUCAUCAUUCGUUAUUACGGUUAUUAUGUUUCAUAUAGAAAUAUUUUGUUCUAUGAAGUAGUCCUUCAAACAUUAAAUAUUUUUUAAUUAA